rnacentral:rRNA from 1 species
UACGAAGGGGGCUAGCGUUGCUCGGAAUCACUGGGCGUAAAGGGUGCGUAGGCGGGUUUUAAGUCAGGGGUGAAAUCUUGGAGCUCAACUCCAGAACUGCCUUUGAUACUGAAGAUCUUGAGUUCGGGAGAGGUGAGUGGAACUGCGAGUGUAGAGGUGAAAUUCGUAGAUAUUCGCAAGAACACCAGUGGCGAAGGCGGCUCACUGGCCCGAUACUGACGCUGAGGCACGAAAGCGUGGGGAGCAAACAGG